rnacentral:rRNA from 1 species
GUAGGGAAUCUUCGGCAAUGGACGAAAGUCUGACCGAGCAACGCCGCGUGAGUGAAGAAGGUUUUCGGAUCGUAAAACUCUGUUGUUAGAGAAGAACGUUGUGUAGAGUGGAAAAUUAUACAAGUGACGGUAUCUAACCAGAAAGGGACGGCUAACUACGUGCCAGCAGCCGCGGUAAUACGUAGGUCCCGAGCGUUGUCCGGAUUUAUUGGGCGUAAAGCGAGCGCAGGUGGUUUAAUAAGUCUGAUGUAAAAGGCAGUGGCUCAACCAUUGUGUGCAUUGGAAACUGUUAGACUUGAGUGCAGUAGAGGAGAGUGGAAUUCCAUGUGUAGCGGUGAAAUGCGUAGAUAUAUGGAGGAACACCGGUGGCGAAAGCGGCUCUCUGGACUGUAACUGACACUGAGGCUCGAAAGCGUGGGUAGCAAACAGGAUUAGAAACCCGUGUAGUCC